CCAGACUCCUACGGGAGGCAGCAGUGGGGGAUAUUGCACAAUGGGGGGAACCCUGAUGCAGCGACGCCGCGUGGGUGAAGAAGCGCCUCGGCGCGUAAAGCCCUGUCAGCAGGGAAGAAUAUGACGGUACCUGAAGAAGAAGCCCCGGCUAACUACGUGCCAGCAGCCGCGGUAAUACGUAGGGGGCGAGCGUUAUCCGGAUUCACUGGGUGUAAGGGGAGCGUAGACGGCCAAGCAAGCCAGGGGUGAAAGCCCGGGGCCCAACCCCGGGACUGCCCUUGGAACUGCUUGGCUGGAGUGCGGGAGGGGCAGGCGGAAUUCCUGGUGUAGCGGUGAAAUGCGUAGAUAUCACGAAGAACUCCGAUUGCGAAGGCAGCCUACUAAACUGCCACUGACAUUGAUGCUCGAAAGUGUGGGUAUCAAACAGGAUUAGAUACCCCAGUA
rnacentral:rRNA from 1 species